rnacentral:rRNA from 1 species
GACGAACGCUGGCGGCGUGCUUAACACAUGCAAGUCGAACGGAAAGGCCCUGCUUUUGUGGGGUGCUCGAGUUGCGAACGGGUGAGUAACACGUGAGUAACCUGCCCUUGACUUUGGGAUAACUUCAUGAAACUGGGGCUAAUACCGGAUAGGAGCUCCUGCUGCAUGGUGGGGGUUGGAAAGUUUCGGCGGUUGGGGAUGGACUCGCGGCUUAUCAGCUUGUUGGUGGGGUAGUGGCUUACCAAGGCUUUGACGGGUAGCCGGCCUGAGAGGGUGACCGGCCACAUUGGGACUGAGAUGCGGCCCAGACUCCUACGGGAGGCAGCAGUGGGGAAGAGUGCACAGUGGGCGGAAGCCUGAUGCAGCAAAGCCGCGUGGGGGAUGACGGCCUUCGGGUUGUAAACCGCUUUCGCCUGUGACGAAGCGUGAGUGACGGUAAUGGGUAAAGAAGCACCGGCUAACUCCGUG